rnacentral:rRNA from 1 species
CUCCUCUGACGUUAGCGGCGGACGGGUGAGUAACACGUGGAUAACCUACCUAUAAGACUGGGAUAACUUCAGGAAACUGGGGCUAAUACCGGAUAGGAGCUCCUGCUGCAUGGUGGGGGUUGGAAAGUUUCGGCGGUUGGGGAUGGACUCGCGGCUUAUCAGCUUGUUGGUGGGUAGUGGCUUACCAAGGCUUUGACGGGUAGCCGGCCUGAGAGGGUGACCGGCCACAUUGGGACUGAGAUACGGCCCAG